UACGUAGGAUGCAAGCGUUGUCCGGAAUUACUGGGCGUAAAGAGCGCGCAGGCGGUCGUUCAAGUCGAGUGUGAAAGCCCCCGGCUCAACUGGGGAGGGUCACUCGAUACUGAUCGACUCGAAGGCAGAAGAGGGAAGCGGAAUUCCCGGUGUAGUGGUGAAAUGCGUAGAUAUCGGGAGGAACACCAGUGGCGAAGGCGGCUUUCUGGUCUGCUCUUGACGCUGAGGCGCGAAAGCUAGGGUAGCAAACGGG
rnacentral:rRNA from 1 species